GACGUUACGCACGACUUUAAUUAUGGUCCGUAAAUUUAUUCGCAAAUGUGAGUUACGGUGCCGUGGCAUUUUACUUGAUAUUUGAACGAGAACGUGAGGUGCAGUGCGCACGCACAAGGAAACAAAUGACGGGAGGGGGAAGAAAGGAUAAGGAGUUUAUAUAUUUGCAGCGCGAAAUUAAACAGGUGUGAUCAUACCAGCACUAAUGCACCAGAACCCAUU
rnacentral:lncRNA from 1 species